GUUGUAGCUCAGUGGAAGAAUGUUUGCCUAGCAUGUGCAAGGGUCUAAGUUCAAUACCUAGCAUUACA
rnacentral:tRNA from 1 species